AUUGAACGCUGGCGGCACGCUUAACACAUGCAAGUCGAACGGUAACAGGUCUAGCUUGCUAGACGCUGACGAGUGGCGGACGGGUGAGUAACGCGUAGGAAUCUACCCUAGAGAUUGGGACAACUUGAGGAAACUUGAGCUAAUACCGGAUACGGCCUACGGGCUAAAGGUUGCCUUUUAGGCAGUCGCUUUAGGAUGAGCCUGCGUUAGAUUAGCUUGUUGGUGAGGUAAAGGCUCACCAAGGCGACGAUCUAUAGCUGUUCUGAGAGGAAGAUCAGCCACACUGGGACUGAGACACGGCCAG
rnacentral:rRNA from 1 species